AGCGAACGCUGGCGGCGUACCUAACACAUGCAAGUCGAACGGGGAUCACAGGGUUAGCAAUAACUCCGUGGUUCUAGUGGCGCACGGGUGAGUAACACGUGGGUAACCUGCCCUUGAGACCGGGAUACCCCCUCGAAAGGGGGGCUAAUACCGGAUACGUUCCUCGGAUCGAAAGGUCUGAGGAGGAAAGGUGGCGAAAGCUGCCGCUCUUGGAGGGGCUCGCGGCCUAUCAGCUAGUUGGCGGGGUAACGCCCACCAAGGCUAUGACGGGUAGCUGGUCUGAGAGGACGACCAGCCACACGGGGACUGAGACACGGCCCCGACUCCUACGGGAGGCAGCAGUGGGGAAUUUUCCGCAAUGGGCGAAAGCCUGACGGAGUGACGCCGCGU
rnacentral:rRNA from 1 species